CUCUCAGCGUUGACUCAGCCAGUCCAAGGUCAGGGGGAGGCCCUGACUAUACCACGUGUGUCAGGCCAAGGUCCAGCACUGUCUAAAGUUCACUCAGCAAAUAGUCACUAAAUGCCCCCGUGUGGGGGCCCGGCCCAGGCUCGGGGCGGCUGAUUUGGGGUGGCCUGGAGGGAAACUCUGAGCUGGGAGUCAGCACUGCUCACAGCCCCACUCCAGAGCUGACCAGCCACCACCUUUCCCCAAGGAGUGAGGUGGGAAUGAGAUGACCCCACGUGGCAACAGCUACAGACACAAAAAUGUUUUGCCCAACUGAGAGAAUCCAGUGUGAGAGACCACAUGCCAUUCCUGAUGUUCAUUUUCCAUGAAGGCAUACAGAGAACCAACAACAACAACGGCAACAACAACAAAAAACCCUCCUACACAUGUCCGAAUUGCUGCUUGCUCAUAUGUGCACACGUGGGCACACACAGUCUUCCGGAGAUACCUGGCUGCUGAUUCUCUGGUUGAACUAGAAGCUGAGCAUUCACUGUAUACCUGGGGGGUUGGGUGGGGGAGGUGGUCCUAGAGCCUUCCCCUAUGUAGGUCCUUGCUUCUCCAUCCCUCCCCCAGAGAGUCUGUGCUAUGAACCAUUCAUGGCUCUGAGCAGGAGGUACAUGUUCCUUCUGAUGCUAUGGGACCUGGGCUGGGUUGGGGUGGGGCAGGCUGGAGGUUUGGGAAGGCCAGUCUGGCAGGUCUGGUGGGUGUGUGUUAAGAGUAUGAGACAGGGGCCCAGCCUCUGCUUCCAGGUACACAGUGCCAAACACACAGUAUGUCCAUUUUCCCCACUGCCAUGUAAGGUGAUGGUAAGGAGGCUUGGAGGAAACCAGGCAGGAGCAUGUUAAAAUUACCAGCUUAUUAAAAAGCAGGGACAUUACUUUUCCAACAAAGGUCCGUCUAGUCAAAGCUAUGGUUUUCCCAGUAGUCAUGUAUGGAUGUGAGAGUUGGACCAUAAAGAAGGCUGAGCACUGAAGAAUUAAUGCCUUUGAGCUGUGGUGUUAGAGAAGACUCUUGAGAGUCCCUUCGAGAGCAAAGAGAUCCAACCAGUCCAUCCUAAAGGAAAUCAGUCCUGAAUAUUCAUUGGAAGGACUAAUGCUGAAGCCGAAACUCCAAUAUUUUGGCCCCCUGGUGGGAAGAACUGACUCAUUCGUAAAAACCCUGAUGCUGGGAAAGAUUGAAGGUGGGAGGAGAAGGGGACAACAGAGGAUGAGAUGGUUGGAUAGCAUCACCGACUCAAUGGGCAUGAGUUUGAGUAAACUCCGGGAGUUGGUGAUGGACAGGGAAGGCGUAGCGUGGUGCAGUCUGUGGGGUCGCAGAGUCGGACACGGCUGAGCGACUGAACCAAAUUGAAGGCAGGGGCAGGGCCCUGACCUUACACCUUACACCAGUGUUUCUCAGUCUGUGAUCAGUAUCACCAGAGACUGGGGGGAGGGGUGGGGGAUUGUUAAAGAAGCUUCUUCCUGGCCCCUACGGGGGGAAUCAGUGUGUUUAACAAGUCCCCCUCACCAUCGGAAUUCUGAUGCACAAGCAGAGCACAGAGUUACCCAGUUUGGCUCAGAUCCCAGUGAAUCCACACCCCCUCCUCUCUGCAGCUGCCACCACCGAGCUUCAGUGCCCCGGGACUCUCAUACACUCAUACUCUAUGCCCCGAGGGCCUGGAUACUCUUCAGUUUUAGCACUUUUCCAUCUAACCCUUGCAGAGCCACUGCCAGGUAAUAAACACAAAUGCCGGCACAUCCUCAGGACUCUGCCCAGAGCACCUUCCUGACUCCCCCAGAUUCAUCUCUGGGCCACGCCCCCUCUCCAUGACUUCCCACACUCUGUACUUGCCCAUCUCUCUACAUGUCUGUGUCUCUCACACACCAGGAAAUCCCCGAGGGCUGGCCCCAGUGCCUGGCAUGGUCCUUGGCCCAAAGUGGGCCCUCAACAAAUGUUGGGUGAAUGAAUUAAGGAGCUACAUGAUGGAGAUUCCAGAAGAUUCCAUGCCUCUGCCAGUCCUCAGUCCACUGCCUAAAACCCCCUGUUCUUUGAGCCCUGGAUGCCUACCUGAGUGCGCUGUGCAGAUGGGGUUGCCGAUAACACAGAUAAAUAUGAAUUCCAGACAAUGAAUCCCUUUUCAGCAUAAGUAUGUCCCAGGGAUUGUGGGGUGGGUCCCAGGAAUUUGUUUGCCACAUCUGACAGCUUUGUCUGUAGAGAACAAGGGUGAGAGAGAAGCGGCGAUCCCCACGGCCAGAAGCCAGCAGUGCUCCCUGCAGAGCUAAGGGGGAAGUCAUAUCACAGGGACAGCAGGCAAAGGCUUUUCCUUUAAGAGGGUGGGAACAGAUUUGGAAGAGUCAAAGGGUCUAUUCCACCAGGAAGGACCAGGAAGGGCUUCCUGCCACAUGCGGUGCAGCCCGAGUUAACACAAAGGAGUGGACUCGUGUGUGAUUGCAUCAAGCUGAAGCCCAAGAUAGAACUUCUCAGAGGUCCCCUUGUUUGUGAAGGGAGUUGAAAUCCUCCCUUGCCCUGGGAUGAACUGAGAGACCUGAGGAUUCCCAGGUGAUGCUAGUGGUAAAGAACCCACCUGUCAACGUAAGAGAUGCAGGUUCGACCCCUGGGUCGGGAAGAUCCCCUGGAGAAGGGCAUGCAACCCACUCCAGUAUUCUUGCCUGGAGAAUUCCAUGGACAGAGGAGCCUGGCGGGCUAAAGUCCAUGGGGUCUCAAAGAGUCGGACACGAUUGAAGUGACUUAGCAUGCAUGCACACGAGGGUUCUAUAGGGACAGCUGUGCUCUAUGGAAUAUGCUUUGUGACCUGCGAUGCUGGUAUCCCAGCUGCAGAGGUGGGUAGGGCCAGACCAUGUGGCUGCUGAUGGAUCAGAGGAUGGAAGGGAGGCCAGGGGUGGACGUGGGAGCUUCAAACACUAGUUCCCUGAUUAAUCUGCAUCCUUAAAGAUGUUCUGAGGACCUUUCAGAAAACAGACUGAGAGGGAGCAGGCAGGGAAGAGAGUAGGCAGCCUAGGGGCCAAUGACCCAGGGAGCAGUGCCAGCAGCUGGGACCAGAGUGUGGGCAGCAGAAACAGAGGGUAGGAUGUAGGUUCCUGGGAUGCAGAAGAGGACAUCUCGCCCACACUGAAGGGGAG
ensembl:lncRNA